rnacentral:rRNA from 1 species
CCUACGGGAGGCAGCAGUAAGGAAUAUUGGUCAAUGGAGGCAACUCUGAACCAGCCAUGCCGCGUGCAGGAUGACGGCCCUAUGGGUUGUAAACUGCUUUUAUACAAGAGAAAACCCUGGUACGUGUACCAGGUUGAUAGUAUUGUAAGAAUAAGCAUCGGCUAACUUCGUGCCAGCAGCCGCGGUAAGACGAAGGAUGCAAGCGUUAUCCGGAUUCAUUGGGUUUAAAGGGUGCGUAGGCGGACUGAUAAGUCAGUGGUGAAAUCUCUUUGCUUAACAAAGAAACUGCCAUUGAUACUGUCGGUCUAGAGUAUAGAUGACGUUGGCGGAAUAUGACAUGUAGUGGUGAAAUACUUAGAUAUGUCAUAGAACACCGAUUGCGAAGGCAGCUAACGAAACUAUAACUGACGCUGAGGCACGAAAGUGCGGGGAUCAAACAGGAUUAGAUACCCUGGUAGUCCGCACCGUAAACGAUGAUUACUCGUUGUUGGCGAUAUGACAGUCAGCGACCAAGCGAAAGCGAUAAGUAAUCCACCUGGGGAGUACGCCGGCACGGUGAAACUUAAAUGAAUUGACGGNNGAGAGNGCGAGGACGACGACGAGGGAGGAGG